GAGAGAGAGAGAGAGAGAGAGAGAGAGAGAGAGAGAGAGAGAGAACAGAAAAAAAACACGAAUGCCUUUUCUUUUGAUUCAAGGUCUCAAGAUGGAACUGUGGGGACUGGUUAGGAUCUGAGGGAAUUCUUCCACAGGACAAAGCCAACAUCAACACUUGACUCUUCCAAGUGGUGCCUCCGGCUGGGGCUGGAGACCGCAGACCCUGGGGAGGCCUCUGAAGACCCCAAGGGACUCCACUCUUCUGCACGUGGACUGAGACAGCACUGGCACAAGCCAAGUCAGUGGCACCCAACCACCAGGCCAAGCCUGGGACCGACACCAUGAGCACACCCUCUAGUCCCCUCCUGAUCUGGCCAAUGUGUUUGCUUUACCAGAAGUCCCUGGAGGAGCACCCACCCAUCAUCCUCUUCCCACCAGGGGUGACUUUCCACCAUGGGAGAUGGACUUUUAGUGAAAGCCAUGCUGACCUUCUCUCAGAAGGUCAGUCCUGGCCUGUGUGCAGGGGUGGGUCUGGAGGUGGAUGGACUCAGGUCCUUCUCUCUGCCUCUGCCAAAGCCACCUCCUUUAUUGCCCACCUUUCCCAUCACUCAUGGGGCUCCCCCCGUGCCCCACCAUGCCACACAGAGCAGGGGGGUGUGGUGUCUCUGCAUCCCUGCUGCCCUCCCUCGUUGUGUCUCACUUUCCUGUGCCUUUUGCAUGUUGGGAGAAGGUCUGGGUGUCACUGCCGCUCAUGCUUAGAAACCACCGAAAGCCCCCAAUAAAGCAUUCAGGAGGAACAGUUGCUUUUCGUUUCUAAA